CCUACGGGAGGCAGCAGUGAGGAAUAUUGGUCAAUGGGCGCGAGCCUGAACCAGCCAAGUAGCGUGAAGGAUGACUGCCCUACGGGUUGUAAACUUCUUUUAUAAAGGAAUAAAGUGAGGCACGUGUGCCUUUGUGUAUGUACUUUAUGAAUAAGGAUCGGCUAACUCAGUGCCAGCAGCCGCGGUAAUACGGAGGAUCGGAGCGUUACCCGGAUUUAUUGGGUUUAAAGGGAGCGUAGAUGGGGUGUUAAGUCAGUUGUGAAAGUUUGCGGCUCAACCGUAAAAUUGCAAUUGAUACUGGCAGUGUUGGGUACAGUUGAGGUAGGAGGAAUUCGUGGUGUAGCGGGGAAAUGGU
rnacentral:rRNA from 1 species